GCGGCUAUCAUGCAGUUCGAGGGGCAGCACGGUAGCAAUACUGGUGGCGACCGGCAAACGGGUGCGGAACACGUACGCAACCUUCCUUUAAGUGGGGGAUAGCCCAUAGAAAUGUGGAUUAAUACCUCGUAAUAUUGUUGGUCGGCAUCGACUGACAAUUAUAGCUCCGGCGCUUAAAGAUGGGCGUGCGCCUGAUUAGGUAGUUGGUGAGGUAACGGCUCACCAAGCCAACGAUCAGUAACUGGCGUGAGAGCGCGACCAGUCACACGGGCACUGAGACACGGGCCCGACUCCUACGGGAGGCAGCAGUAAGGAAUGUUGGUCAAUGGACGCAAGUCUGAACCAGCCAUGCCGCGUGGAGGAUGAAGGUCCUCUGGAUUGUAAACUUCUUUUAUUUGGGAAGAAACCUCUCUAUUCCUAGAGAGUUGACGGUACCAAGUGAAUAAGCACCGGCUAACUCCGUGCCAGCAGCCGCGGUAAUACGGAGGGUGCAAGCGUUAUCCGGAUUCACUGGGUUUAAAGGGUGCGUAGGCGGAUAUGUAAGUCCGUGGUGAAAUCUCUGAGCUUAACUCGGAAACUGCCAUGGAUACUAUAUAUCUUGAAUGUUGUGGAGGUUUGCGGAAUAUGUCAUGUAGCGGUGAAAUGCUUAGAUAUGACAUAGAACACCGAUUGCGAAGGCAGCAGGCUACACAAAUAUUGACGCUGAGGCACGAAAGCGUGGGGAUCAAACAGGAUUAGAUACCCUGGUAGUCCACGCCCUAAACGAUGAUUACUCGACAUUUGCGAUAUACAGUAAGUGUCUGAGCGAAAGCAUUAAGUAAUCCACCUGGGAAGUACGACCGCAAGGUUGAAACUCAAAGGAAUUGACGGGGGUCCGCACAAGCGUGGACAUGUGGUUUAAUUCGAUGAUACGCGAGGAACCUUACCUGGGCUAGAAUGCUGGGGGACCGGUCCUGAAAGGGACCUUUGUAGCAAUACACCGCCAGUAAG
rnacentral:rRNA from 1 species